UACGUAGGGGGCUAGCGUUGUCCGGAAUCAUUGGGCGUAAAGCGCGUGUAGGCGGUUCGGUAAGUCCGCUGUGAAAGUCGGGGGCUCAACCCUCGGAUGCCGGUGGAUACUGUCGGACUAGAGUACGGAAGAGGCGAGUGGAAUUCCUGGUGUAGCGGUGAAAUGCGUAGAUAUCUGGAGGAACACCGGUGGCGAAGGCGGCAUCCUGGACCGACACUGACGCUGAGGCGCGAAAGCUAGGGGAGCAAACGGG
rnacentral:rRNA from 1 species